UACGAAGGGGGCUAGCGUUGUUCGGAAUUACUGGGCGUAAAGCGCGCGCAGGUGGUCUUUCAAGUCAGUGGUGAAAGCCCGGAGCUCAACUCCGGAAAUGCCAUUGAAACUGUGAGACUUGAGUGCAGAAGAGGAAAGUGGAAUUCCAUGUGUAGCGGUGAAAUGCGUAGAGAUAUGGAGGAACACCAGUGGCGAAGGCGACUUUCUGGUCUGUAACUGACACUGAGGCGCGAAAGCGUGGGGAGCAAACAGG
rnacentral:rRNA from 1 species